rnacentral:tRNA from 1 species
GGCUCUGUGGUGUAAUGGUAGCACAUUCACCCAGCAAGUGAGAGACCCGGGUUCAAGUCCCGGCGGAGCAA